rnacentral:rRNA from 1 species
AGAGUUUGAUCAUGGCUCAGAAUCAACGCUGGCGGCGUGCCUAACACAUGCAAGUCGAACGAGAAAGUGGGAGCAAUCCCGCGAGUAAAGUGGCGCACGGGUGAGUAACACGUGACUAACCUACCUUGGAGUUCGGAAUAACCUCGGGAAACCGGGGCUAAUACCGGAUGAUACCUUUGGGUCAAAGGAGCAAUUCGCUCUGAGAGGGGGUCGCGGCUGAUUAGCUAGUUGGCAGGGUAAUGGCCUACCAAGGCGACGAUCAGUAUCCGGCCUGAGAGGGCGCACGGACACACUGGAACUGAAACACGGUCCAGACUCCUACGGGAGGCAGCAGUGGGGAAUUUUGCACAAUGGGGGAAACCCUGAUGCAGCAACGCCGCGUGGAGGAUGAAGGUCUUUGGAUUGUAAACUCCUUUCGACCGGGACGAUAAUGACGGUACCGGGAGAAGAAGCACCGGCUAACUCUGUGCCAGCAGCCGCGGUA